UACGUAGGGUGCGAGCGUUGUCCGGAAUUAUUGGGCGUAAAGAGCUCGUAGGCGGUCUGUCACGUCGGCUGUGAAAACCCGAGGCUCAACCUCGGGCCUGCAGUCGAUACGGGCAAACUAGAGUACUGCAGGGGAGACUGGAAUUCCUGGUGUAGCGGUGAAAUGCGCAGAUAUCAGGAGGAACACCGAUGGCGAAGGCAGGUCUCUGGGCCACUACUGACGCUGAGAAGCGAAAGCAUGGGGAGCGAACAGG
rnacentral:rRNA from 1 species